AUUGAACGCUGGCGGCAUGCCUUACACAUGCAAGUCGAACGGCAGCGGACCUUCGGGUGCCGGCGAGUGGCGAACGGGUGAGUAAUAUAUCGGAACGUACCUUUCAGUGGGGGAUAACGUAGCGAAAGUUACGCUAAUACCGCAUAUUCUGUGAGCAGGAAAGCAGGGGAUCGCAAGACCUUGCGCUGAUUGAGCGGCCGAUAUCAGAUUAGCUAGUUGGUGAGGUAAAGGCUCACCAAGGCGACGAUCUGUAGCGGGUCUGAGAGGAUGAUCCGCCACACUGGAACUGAGACACGGUCCAGACUCCUACGGGAGGCAGCAGUGGGGAAUUUUGGACAAUGGGCGCAAGCCUGAUCCAGCCGUGCCGCGUGAGUGAAGAAGGCCUGGUUCGUAAGCGUACUUUCUAGCUGGAAGAAAACGACGUACGGAGUAA
rnacentral:rRNA from 1 species